rnacentral:rRNA from 1 species
UACGGGGGGGGCAAGCGUUGUUCGGAAUUACUGGGCGUAAAGGGCUCGUAGGUGGCCAACUAAGUCAGACGUGAAAUCCCUCAGCUUAACUGGGGAACUGCGUCUGAUACUGGAUGGCUUGAGUUUGGGAGAGGGAUGCGGAAUUCCAGGUGUAGCGGUGAAAUGCGUAGAUAUCAGGAGGAACACCUGUGGCGAAGGCGGUGCUCUGGGCCGGAACUGACGCUGAGGAGCGAAAGCGUGGGGAGCAAACAGG